ACUAUCGUUAACUGAAUACAUAGGUUAACGAGGCGAACCGGGGGAACUGAAACAUCUAAGUACCCCGAGGAAAAGAAAUCAACCGAGAUUCCCCCAGUAGCGGCGAGCGAACGGGGAGCAGCCCGGAGUCUGAAUCAGCUUGUGUGUUAGUGGAACGGUCUGGAAAGUCCGACGGUACAGGGUGAUAGUCCCGUACACGAAAGCACACUUGCUGUGAACUCGAAGAGUAGGGCGGGACACGUGGUAUCCUGUCUGAAUAUGGGGGGACCAUCCUCCAAGGCUAAAUACUCCUGACUGACCGAUAGUGAACCAGUACCGUGAGGGAAAGGCGAAAAGAACCCCGGCGAGGGGAGUGAAAAAGAACCUGAAACCGUGUACGUACAAGCAGUGGGAGCACCUUCGUGGUGUGACUGCGUACCUUUUGUAUAAUGGGUCAGCGACUUAUAUUCUGUAGCAAGGUUAACCGUAUAGGGGAGCCGAAGGGAAACCGAGUCUUAACUGGGCGUUAAGUUGCAGGGUAUAGACCCGAAACCCGGUGAUCUAGCCAUGGGCAGGUUGAAGGUUGGGUAACACUAACUGGAGGACCGAACCGACUAAUGUUGAAAAAUUAGCGGAUGACCUGUGGCUGGGGGUGAAAGGCCAAUCAAACCGGGAGAUAGCUGGUUCUCCCCGAAAGCUAUUUAGGUAGCGCCUCGUGAACUCAUCUUCGGGGGUAGAGCACUGUUUCGGCUAGGGGGCCAUCCCGGCUUACCAACCCGAUGCAAACUACGAAUACCGAAGAAUGUUAUCACGGGAGACACACGGCGGGUGCUAACGUCCGUCGUGAAGAGGGAAACAACCCAGACCGCCAGCUAAGGUCCCAAAGUCAUGGUUAAGUGGGAAACGAUGUGGGAAGGCACAGACAGCCAGGAUGUUGGCUUAGAAGCAGCCAUCAUUUAAAGAAAGCGUAAUAGCUCACUGGUCGAGUCGGCCUGCGCGGAAGAUGUAACGGGGCUAAACCAUGCACCGAAGCUGCGGCAGCGACACUAUGUGUUGUUGGGUAGGGGAGCGUUCUGUAAGCCGUUGAAGGUGUGCUGUGAGGCAUGCUGGAGGUAUCAGAAGUGCGAAUGCUGACAUAAGUAACGAUAAAGCGGGUGAAAAGCCCGCUCGCCGGAAGACCAAGGGUUCCUGUCCAACGUUAAUCGGGGCAGGGUGAGUCGACCCCUAAGGCGAGGCCGAAAGGCGUAGUCGAUGGGAAACAGGUUAAUAUUCCUGUACUUGGUGUUACUGCGAAGGGGGGACGGAGAAGGCUAUGUCAGCCGGGCGACGGUUGUCCCGGUUUAAGCAUGUAGGCGGAGGUUCCAGGUAAAUCCGGUACCUUAUUAACGCUGAGGUGUGAUGACGAGGCACUACGGUGCUGAAGUGAUAAAUGCCCUGCUUCCAGGAAAAGCCUCUAAGCAUCAGGUAACACGAAAUCGUACCCCAAACCGACACAGGUGGUCAGGUAGAGAAUACCAAGGCGCUUGAGAGAACUCGGGUGAAGGAACUAGGCAAAAUGGUGCCGUAACUUCGGGAGAAGGCACGCUGAUGUGUAGGUGAAGCCCCUGCGGGCGGAGCUGAAAUCAGUCGAAGAUACCAGCUGGCUGCAACUGUUUAUUAAAAACACAGCACUGUGCAAACACGAAAGUGGACGUAUACGGUGUGACGCCUGCCCGGUGCCGGAAGGUUAAUUGAUGGGGUUAGCUGUAAGGCGAAGCUCUUGAUCGAAGCCCCGGUAAACGGCGGCCGUAACUAUAACGGUCCUAAGGUAGCGAAAUUCCUUGUCGGGUAAGUUCCGACCUGCACGAAUGGCGUAAUGAUGGCCAGGCUGUCUCCACCCGAGACUCAGUGAAAUUGAACUCGCUGUGAAGAUGCAGUGUACCCGCGGCAAGACGGAAAGACCCCGUGAACCUUUACUAUAGCUUGACACUGAACACUGGUCCUUGAUGUGUAGGAUAGGUGGGAGGCUUUGAAGCGUGGACGCCAGUCUGCGUGGAGCCGCCCUUGAAAUACCACCCUUUAAUGGCUGGUGUUCUAACGUAGACCCGUAAUCCGGGUUGCGGACAGUGUCUGGUGGGUAGUUUGACUGGGGCGGUCUCCUCCCAAAGAGUAACGGAGGAGCACGAAGGUUGGCUAAUCCUGGUCGGACAUCAGGAGGUUAGUGCAAUGGCAUAAGCCAGCUUGACUGCGAGCGUGACGGCGCGAGCAGGUGCGAAAGCAGGUCAUAGUGAUCCGGUGGUUCUGAAUGGAAGGGCCAUCGCUCAACGGAUAAAAGGUACUCCGGGGAUAACAGGCUGAUACCGCCCAAGAGUUCAUAUCGACGGCGGUGUUUGGCACCUCGAUGUCGGCUCAUCACAUCCUGGGGCUGAAGUAGGUCCCAAGGGUAUGGCUGUUCGCCAUUUAAAGUGGUACGCGAGCUGGGUUUAGAACGUCGUGAGACAGUUCGGUCCCUAUCUGCCGUGGGCGCUGGAGAAUUGAGGGGGGCUGCUCCUAGUACGAGAGGACCGGAGUGGACGCAUCACUGGUGUUCGGGUUGUCAUGCCAAUGGCACUGCCCGGUAGCUAAAUGCGGAAGAGAUAAGUGCUGAAAGCAUCUAAGCACGAAACUUGCCCCGAGAUGAGUUCU
rnacentral:rRNA from 1 species